AGGACGAACGCUGGCGGCGUGCUUAACACAUGCAAGUCGAGCGGUGAUCCUCCUUCGGGAGGUGAUCAGCGGCGAACGGGUGAGUAACACGUGGGCAACCUGCCCCUCACACUGGGAUAACCUCGGGAAACCGGGGUUAAUACCGGAUACGACCUCGAGCGGCAUCUCUUGAGGUGGAAAGCUCCGACGGUGAGGGAUGGGCCCGCGGCCUAUCAGCUUGUUGGUGGGGUAAUGGCCUACCAAGGCGACGACGGGUA
rnacentral:rRNA from 1 species